UACGUAGGGGCCGAGCGUUGUCCGGAGUUAUUGGGCGUAAAGCGCGCGCAGGCGGCUUCGCGCGCCCGACGUGAAAGCCCCCGGCUUAACCGGGGAGAGUCGUUGGGGACGGCGGAGCUUGAGGGCGGGAGAGGUCGGUGGAAUUCCCGGUGUAGUGGUGAAAUGCGUAGAGAUCGGGAGGAACACCUGUGGCGAAGGCGGCCGACUGGGCCGACCCUGACGCUGAGGAGCGAAAGCGUGGGGAGCGAACCGG
rnacentral:rRNA from 1 species